rnacentral:rRNA from 1 species
ACCUGACCCCAUGCCGAACUCAGAAGUGAAACGCCGUAGCGCCGAUGGUAGUGUGGGGUCUCCCCAUGUGAGAGUAGGGAACUGCCAGGU